UGUACCUACGGGAGGCAGCAGUGGGGAAUAUUGCACAAUGGGGGAAACCCUGAUGCAGCGACGCCGCGUGAGAGAAGAAGUAAUUCGUUAUGUAAAGCUCUAUCAGCAGGGAAGAGAAUGACGGUACCUGAGUAAGAAGCCCCGGCUAACUACGUGCCAGCAGCCGCGGUAAUACGUAGGGGGCAAGCGCUAUCCGGAUUUACUGGGUGUAAAGGGAGCGUAGACGGCAGAGCAAGUCUG
rnacentral:rRNA from 1 species